rnacentral:tRNA from 1 species
GCCGGGAUUCCGGAGCCUGGUACCGGGCAGUCUGCGACGAAGCAGGCCCAAGCCUGGAAAAUCAGGGCGACUGUUAGCCUGUGGCCCCUUGGGCCGCGUGGGUUCAAAUCCCACUCCCGGCGCCA